rnacentral:rRNA from 1 species
AGAGUUUGAUCCUGGCUCAGGAUGAACGCUGGCGGUCUGCUUAACACAUGCAAGUCGAACGGAAUCUUUCGGGAUUUAGUGGCGGACGGGUGAGUAACGCGUGAGAAUCUGCCUUCAGGUUCGGGACAACAGUUGGAAACGGCUGCUAAUACCGGAUGUGCCGAGAGGUGAAAGCUUAAGUGCCUGGAGAUGAGCUCGCGUCUGAUUAGCUAGUAGGAGUGGUAACGGCACCCCUAGGCGACGAUCAGUAGCUGGUCUGAGAGGAUGAUCAGCCACACUGGGACUGAGACACGGCCCAGACUCCUACGGGAGGCAGCAGUGGGGAAUUUUCCGCAAUGGGCGCAAGCCUGACGGAGCAAGACCGCGUGAGGGAAGAAGGUCUGUGGAUUGUAAACCUCUUUUGAUCGGGAAGAAGACAGUGACGGUACCGAUCGAAU